AUGAUGGCCAUGCCGUCGGCACCGUUGUACGGCUAUGGCGCCCCCGGCGGCCCGCCGCCUGGCUAUGGCUACUCUGCUGCCCCCGGCGGCCCGCCGCCUAGCUACGGCUACUCUGCUGCCCCGCCUCCUCAACAGCAGCAGCCCUGGGACAUGGCGUCGCUCCAGGCUGCACUGCACGGUGCUACGACCAGACCAUCAUCGUCGGACAGCGCAUCCGACUGGUACCUCGACUCCGGCGCCGCCGCACAUAUGGCCUCCAACCCGGGUAUUCUCUCCUCCCUUCGUCCUUCCUCCACAUAA
rnacentral:rRNA from 1 species